rnacentral:rRNA from 1 species
CCGGUCAACUCUACGGGAGCAGCAGUGAGGAAUUUUGCGCAAUGGGGGAAACCCUGACGCAGCAACGCCGCGUGAGUGAAGAAGGCUUUCGGGUCGUAAAGCUCUGUCAAGUGGGAAAAAAGUCUGAUGAUUAAUAGUUGUCAGAUCUGAUGGCACCACUGGAGGAAGCACCGGCUAACUCCGUGCCAGCAGCCGCGGUAAUACGGAGGGUGCAAGUGUUGUUCGGAAUUACUGGGCGUAAAGGGCGUGCAGGCGGGUUGGUAAGUCAGAUGUGAAAGCCCUGGGCUUAACCCAGGAAGUGCAUUUGAAACUGCCAUCCUUGAGUAUGGGAGAGGAGAGUGGAAUUCCCAAUGUAGAGGUGAAAUUCGUAGAUAUUGGGAGGAACACCCGUGGCGAAGGCGACUCUCUGGACCAAUACUGACGCUGAGACGCGAAAGCGUGGGGAGCAAACAGGAUUAGAUACCCUGGUAGUCCACGCUGUAAACGAUGAGAACUAGGUGUAGCGGGUAUUGACCCCUGCUGUGCCGAAGUUAACGCAUUAAGUUCUCCGCCUGGGGAGUACGGCCGCAAGGCUAAAACUCAAAAGAAUUGACGGGGGCCCGCACAAGCGGUGGAGCAUGUGGUUUAAUUCGACGCAACGCGAAGAACCUUACCUGGGUUUGACAUCCUUUGACAGUCCCGGAAACGGGAUCUUUCCGACUUUGUCGGAACGGAGUGACA